rnacentral:rRNA from 1 species
AGAGUUUGAUCCUGGCUCAGGACGAACGCGGGCGGCGUGCCUAACACAUGCAAGUCGAGCGGGGAUAUAUGCUGGAGCGCUUCGGUGUGAAGGGAUAUAUCCUAGCGGCGGACGGGUGAGUAACGCGUGGGGAACCUGCCCUUAAGUUCGGGAUACCAACUCGAAAGGGUUGUUAAUACGGAUGUGCUGCAUUAGCCGCAUGGCGGAUGUAGUAAAGGGGAGACCCGCUUAAGGAUGGCCCUGCGUUCCAUUAGCUAGUUGGUGGGGUAACGGCCUACCAAGGCGACGAUGGAUAGCCGGCCUGAGAGGGCGACCGGCCACACUGGGACUGAGACACGGCCCAGACUCCUACGGGGGGCAGCAGUGGGGAAUCUUGCACAAUGGGCGGAAGCCUGAUGCAGCGACGCCGCGUGAGGGACGAAGGUCUUCGGAUCGUAAACCUCUGUCCAAAGGGACGAAGGAGUGACGGUACCUUUGGAGGAAGCCCCGGCCAACUACGUGCCAGCAGCCGCGGUAAGACGUAGGGGGCGAGCGUUGUCCGGAAUCAUUGGGCGUAAAGGGCGCGUAGGCGGUGACGUAAGUCAGGCGUGAAAGGCAUCGGCUCAACCGACGCACAUAGCCUGAUACUACGUUGCUAGAGUGCAGGAGAGGAGAGUGGAAUUCCAGGUGUAGCGGUGAAAUGCGUAGAUAUCUGGAAGAACACCAGUGGCGAAGGCGGCUCUCUGGACUGUAACUGACGCUGAGGCGCGAAAGCUGGGGGAGCAAACAGGAUUAGAUACCCUGGUAGUCCCAGCCGUAAACGAUGAACACUAGGUGUAGGGGGUAUCGACCCCUCCUGUGCCGCAGUUAACGCAGUAAGUGUUCCGCCUGGGGAGUACGGCCGCAAGGCUGAAACUCAAAGGAAUUGACGG